GCUUCCACUAAAGGUGCUGUAGGUAUGGCUGCUGUGUCACUUAUGCAUCAGUAGGUGGCAGAGAAGAGAGAGACGAUGUCUACACUCAUUAUUUUGACCUGUGAACAUCUGAAUAAUUAGUAGUUUAACUCU